rfam:Euryarchaeota archaeon RBG_16_68_12 RBG_16_scaffold_1319, whole genome shotgun sequence.
GCUCCCGUAGUCUAGUGGUCAAGGAUGGAAGCCUCUCGAGCUUUCAACCCGGGUUCGAAUCCCGGCGGGAGCA